rnacentral:rRNA from 1 species
AACUUUCAACAACGGAUCUCUUGGCUCUCGCAUCGAUGAAGAACGCAGCGAAAUGCGAUACGUAAUGUGAAUUGCAAAAUUCAGUGAAUCAUCGAAUCUUUGAACGCACCUUGCGCCCCUUGGUAUUCCGAGGGGCACACCCGUUUGAGUGUCG